AAAAAAAAACCCUUUGCUUCGGAAUAGCCCUGGGAAACUGGGAGUAAUACCGGAUGAGCCCUUUGGGGGAAAGAUUUAUCUGCGAAGGAUCGGCCCGCGUUGGAUUAGGUAGUGGGUGGGGUAAUGGCCUACCAAGCCGACGAUCCAUAGCUGGUUUGAGAGGAUGAUCAGCCACACUGGGACUGAGACACGGCCCAGACUCCUACGGGAGGCAGCAGUGGGGAAUCUUAGACAAUGGGAGAAACCCUGAUCUAGCCAUGUUUCU
rnacentral:rRNA from 1 species